UUCAGUUACAGUCAUCAGUCUAGCAGGACUUGGUAGAACCAGCAGCUCAGUGGACUUAAAGUGUGAGUCUGCAGGCUGGUAUCCAGAACCUGAGGUGUUGUGGCUGGACGCUGAUGGAAACCUCCUCUCUGCUGGACCUACAGAGUCAGACAGAGGUCCUGAUGACCUCUAUACUGUCAUCAGCAGAGUGACUGUGGAGAAGAAACACGGCAACAAGUUCACCUGCAGAGUCCAGCAGAAGAACAUCAAGCAGAGCAGAGAGGCUCUGAUACACGUUACAGAUGAGUUCUUUAAGGUCCAGUCCAGUAACACCUCCACUAUAGUCGGUUUGACUGUUGGUCUGACUGCUGCCUUCGUCCUGUUCAUUCUAGCAGUUUUUCUUUUUGUUCGCACAAGAAGACAAAAGAGGAAAAAGAAGACUUUGGUCAAUCAAAAAGAAGAACAGAUUGGACUACUGUUGGGAAGUCAUUCAGAAACCAACAAUCAGCUCCAUCAGGAGAAACAGAAAAAUGAGACCCUGAGGAAUCAGCUGGU